UGAAGAGAAAAUUUAAAAAAAGGUGCAAUGUGUAGGACUCCCUAAAGGUUAAUUUGCAGGUUAAGCCUGUGGUGAGGAAGGAAUAUGUGAUGUUAGCAUUCAUUUCAAGAGGACUAGAAUAUAACAACAAGGAUGUAAUGUUGAGACUUUAUAAAGCACUGGUGAGGCUCCACUUGGGGUAUUGUGAGCAGAUCUAGGCCCCUUAUCUUAGAAAGAAGGUGCUAAAACUGGAGAGGUUUCAAAGGGGGUUCACGAAAAUGAUUCCAGGAUUGAAUGGCUUGUCAUAUGAAAAGCAUUUGAUGGCUCUGAGCCUGUAUUCACUAGAAUUCAGAAGAAUGAGGGGUGACCUCAUUGAAAACUAUCGAAUGGUGAAAGGCUUUGAUAGAGUAGAUGUAGAGAGGAUGUUUCCUAUGGUGGAAGAGUCUAAGAUCAGAGGACGCAACCUCAAGUUAGAGGACCAUCCAUUUAGAACAGAGAUGAGGAGGAAUUUCUUCAGUCAGAGAGUGGUGAAUCUGUGGAAUUAUUUGCCACAGGCAGCUGUAGAUGCUAAGUCUUUAUGUAUAUUUAAGGCACAAAGAUUGAUAGAUUCUUGAAUGGUCAGAACAUGAAGGGACAUGGGGAGAAGGCAGGAGAUUGGGGCUGUGAGGAAAAUUGGAAUAGCCAUGAUGAAAAGGUGGAGCAGAUAUGAUGUGCCAAAUGGCCUAAUUCUGCUCCUAUGUAUUAUGGUCUUAUAUCUGCCCAUUUUGAUGGAAGCCUAUUAUCUAGCUCCUUGUCAGAUACCUUUUGGAAUACCUUAUAUCUGAAAUUUCCUUCAAAGCUUCGUUCUACUACUUCAUCAUGAAACAAAACACAAUUCAUUUCAGUAAAAAUGUUUUGCCUUUAAUCAAUUUUUCCCCAUCCUUUCUGACUCAUAAAUAACUGAUAUAACCAAGACUGAACUAACUUUUGUAGUUAUUAGGAUUUAUUUAAAGCAAGGAUAUAAUAUUAACAAUUUCCAGUUCUCAGGAACCAUCACUGUCUACUGAUGUUUGAAAGAUUACAGCUAGUGCCUCAGCAGUUUCCUCCUUUGCUUUCCUCAUCAGCCUAGAUUUCAUUUUUGGUCUUUAUGCUGUUGGCCAGAAAGAACUACAAUCUGUGAACAGGUAUGGAGGUGACAAUUUUGUGAGACUGUCCUUGCAGCUACCAUUUUGUGAACUGUUUGAUGAAAUGAUUCUUGCUCGGGGAUAAUUUAACUAGAGAGCAGUUGAAGUGGCCACAAGAAGUUUCUGCUAAUGAUUUGCUAAACAUGGGGGUGCUCGCAGACAAGAAGCUGCUUAUUGUGUAAAAUGGUACAUUUACAUAAGUAACCUCAUUAUCAGUCAGAGUUGAAUAAACAAAAGAAGUCACCUAGGGCACGAAGUUGGAGGUGAAGGCCAUAAGACAAUACUGCUUGUUGCCCUGGGCUACGUCCAAUGGGAACUUGACACAGGUCAGUCAAAUGACAUCUAGCCAACAAAAUUGAAACCUCAUAGAUUGACCUGAUGAAGAAAAGUAUAAACAUAAAGGACUUCGGGAGUUCAGGCAGUGAAACCUUCAAGGGACCGACUGUCAUGGAUAUGGAGGACCCCACUUCAGACAUGUGGAACCACAUUUAGACCACAUUUAUUAUUUGGCCAGUGUAGACUUCUUCCCAGAUGGUACCAACCAACCCUACUGGCUCACAGACGAUCUCUCUGUUGUAUCUGGGUCUGCAUAUAUGCAGCAUCGUUACAUAGCCUCACCUUAUUCUUUGGAUGUAUUGGCUGGGUUAAUGGAAGAUCUUAUGGAAGACCCAAUAACCUCUAAUGUUCAAUCUCCAUGGACACCUGCCUCCACAAGUCCUUGGAUAAUAACAUGAGAAGCUUUACAACUGCGACAAAAAUAAAUGAUCUUUUCCUUAAGGGCCUGAAGAGUAAAUGUAGCGUGCGACUGGAGUCAUAUGUACACUCUAUCAAAAGGGAUGGCAGAUUCCACUCUGCAAACGGCAUUAGCAAUCCAGCUGAGUGUUUACAACAGUUCAACUGGUUUAUAAUCUUUUUUUUUUAGAACAGUCCACAGAUGACCAGCUUUAGUACAAUGAUUGGAUUUGGAGUCACUGCUUCUGGUUUACUGAGCUGUGCCAUAACCAUUAUAUUAUCAUAGACUACUGACAAUUUUCUCCAACACGAAAAAAGAAUUGCAAUGUGCAAGAUCUCAUAAAAAUGAUACAGCUUAGUUGUGGUAAUGCAUAUGUUUAACAUGUUUGAAGUGCUUUUGCAUCUUCUCCUCUGCACUAAGUACAUGCUCUUUUACUAAGUACAGUGAAUUCUGGUUUAUUGGGCCAUUGGUUAAUUGGGACAGCUCAUAUUUGGCACAACACUUAAAGAACAAAAAUUAAUCAAGAAAACCGCCAGGCCACUAAAUCAUCUAUGCUGCUUUGUGUUUGGGUCAAGCCUCCGCUACAUUUCCUGACAUUACUGUACUGGCAAUUAUGUCCAUAUGUCCAUUAAGCAACUUGCUCUCACCUUA